rnacentral:rRNA from 1 species
CGUGUAGGCGGGGAUGCAAGUCAGAUGUGAAAUUCCAUGGCUUAACUGUGGGACUGCAUCUGAAACUGCGUUUCUUGAGUGCCGGAGAGGGAAGCGGAAUUCCAAGUGUAGCGGUGAAAUGCGUAGAUAUUUGGAGGAACACCAGUGGCGAAGGCGGCUUUCUGGACGGUAACUGACGCUGAGGCGCGAAAGCGUGGGGAGCAAACAGGAUUAGAUACCCUGGUAGUCCACGCUGUAAACGAUGGAUACUAGGUGUAGGGGGUAUCGACCCCCCCUGUGCCGGAGUUAACACAAUAAGUAUCCCACCUGGGGAGUACGGCCGCAAGGUUGAG